UUAAUAGCGCCUCUCUCUCUCUCUCUCUCUUUAGCGUCCUUCUCCCUCACCGUCGCUUCUCUCCCCUCCACUCUCACCGCCAUUUUCUUUUCUUGAUCAGUGUGUUUAGAAUUGCAGAGAAGCUUCGAUUUCGAGUAAAAUGGCGAUGGUAGUGGCACAUUAGCACAGAGAGAGUAGCAGUGAUAGCAUGAACAGGCAUCUCGAUGCCGGAAAAUAUGUCUGGUACACUGGCGAGCAAGUGGAAGCCCUCGAAAGGGUUUAUGUCGAGUGUCCGAAGCCGAGCUCUUUGCAUCGACAGCAAUUGAUCCGCGACUGUCCCAUUUUGUCUAACAUCGAACCCAAGCAGAUCAAAGUCUGGUUUCAAAAUCGCAGGUGUCAAGAGAAGCAACGAAAAGAGGCUUCUCGGCUGCAGACUGUGAACAGGAAAAUGACAGCGAUGAACAAGCUGUUGAUGGAGGAGAAUGAUCGGUUGUAGAAACAGGUGUCACAGUUGGUAUGCGAGAAUGGUUUUAUGCGGUAACAACUGCACACUGCGUCGGCAACUACUGAUGCAAGCUGUGAGUCUAUGGUAACCACUACUCAGCAUUCUAUGAGAGAUGCUAAUAAUCCUGCUGGGUAACCCUCCAACAUCAAUGACAUCACCCGCUCCUCUCUGCAAUUCUAAACACAUUUGAAUAGAAAUAAGAAUUCUGUUUUAUGGAAAAUGGUUGCAAUUGUAUUGGUUAGGUUAUUUUCACACAUUUUUAAGGUUUUUAAAAUUCAGGAAAUGUGCCUGUAAAAUUCUGUGAACAUGUUUUUGGGGAAAAUUAGUCUAUUCAUGAAAUUUUUAUGUUAUCAGUGGUCCCAGAACAAUGUAAUUUAUGUUAAUACCCGCUUUGUUGCUGCUACAAAAUGAUUUGGUAAUUCAAUUUUUAAGGGCAAGUGCACUGUUGCAAUUGCUGAUUUUUCAAUGCUAUAUGGUUAUGUGAAAAUGUUUUAUAAAGAUUAGUUUAUAAUUAUUAGCUAGCUGGUGGAGUCAUUUGCAUUGGAGUUGGAGACUUGAAUACUUGAAUUAUUUUUUUUGGUAGUUUUUAAUUCUGUAAUAUUUUAAUUAAUUUUUUUUUUUUAAGAUGGCAUAUUCUGGUGCUGUAUAACCCCUGUUGCAUGAGAAAGUAGUUAGUUAUCAUUCAAUGGUUUCAAAUAUUGUACUAGAAGUACUAGAGUUGUUACAUGAAAACAUAUCACUGGUUUAAUUUCAAUUAGGAAUCAAAAUAGCCUCUAAUACAAUCCAUUCUUAAUUGUUGCAUAAAUGUGGGUUGAAUACUUUCACACAACAGGUAAACUGAAAGAGAUGAAGGUAAAAAAUGAAUAAGUGCUGUCAAAGGAAGAGCCACAAGUAGAGAAGGCUGGUGCAGUUGAUCAAAUUAAGAAAAAAUAUGGAUUUACUAUGUUUGGUGUAAGUAUGCAUCCAAUAGAUUUAUGUCUAAUCAUCUGUUGUGCACUCCAUCACUGAACAUUUUGUUUGAGUUGGUUAAUUAGUUAUAUAUUUGAAUGGGUCUAAUACUGAUCUGAACAUUCAAAAUCUGACCAAGACAUCACCUUUUGUUUUGAACAUUUAAAAAAAAGAAUUACGGUGAAUAAUUUUGGUCAUGAUUGUGGAAAUGUGAGCCAUAUUGAUUGUCAUAAUGUUUAAGAUGGUUGUAAUGCAUUGUGCUGGAAUUUUUGUGAGCCAUGUUUAAGAUGUGAGCCAUAUGAAAGGACUGGAAUUUUUAUUGGAUAUAAGAUAAGAUCCACUACUUUUAAGCUUUAUAUUUAGGUUUAAUUUCAUAUACAAUGUUCCAGUAGGAGGCAUUAUUUCCAUCUUUGGGUGCAGGAUUCUAGUGCUGCAAAGAAGGCACAAAGCAAAUUGGGCGAAAAUGUGAAGAAGUUGCAGGUUUAGACUCUCAAUAUAUAGGAAUUGGGUUAAAAUUUUAUAUUAAACUUGUUUGGCUGUAAAAUUGAAACAACUUGAAAUCUACAAAAAAAAAAAUUUCUUGAUGAAAUUGGUUUCUCACUUCUAGAAGAGAGAACUCUUUUCUUUUUAUUACAAAAAUCUGAGGUUGAAGCAUCAAUAGGUUUAGUACCGCUAUUGCAUUUGAGGCUGAAGAUGUCAACUAAGCAGUGUCUGCUGCUCGCAAAGCAUUCGACCAAGGACCAUGGCCAAAGAUGACUGCUUAUGUAAGAAUAUCACACAUUGAUCAUUUGCUUUGUACUUUCAAGAAAGAUCACGAAUAAUGUUGCGGUUUGCUGAUUUGCUUGAGAAGCACAGUGAUCAUAUUGCGGCUCUUGAAACUUGGGAUAAUGGGAAGCCUUAUGAACAGGCUGCAAAUGAAGAAAUACCAUUGGUGUGGUAAAUAUAAGCUAAUUUGGUAUGGUAGAAUUCAGUAUAUAUGCUAAUUUAGGUUGUUGUACAUAUGUCCUUUUUGUUAAUUAAUAAGGUUAGUCCUAUAUUAUGUAUGAAAUGAAAUUAUUGACGUUGGAUUAGACUUGGUUCGUAUGGAAUUUGUAUUAUAUAUAGAAUUGGACGUUCAAUAUUAAUGUUUUGGAUGGUUUGAGCUAAAA